rnacentral:rRNA from 1 species
GGUGAACGCUGGCGGCGUGCCUAAUACAUGCAAGUCGAGCGAACAGACGAGGAGCUUUCUCCUCUAACGGUAGCGGCGGACGGGCGAGUAACGCGUGGAUAACAUACUUCUUAUACGGGGGGGACUUCGGGAGGCCGCAUCCGAUACUGGAGCAUAUGUCGUACGGCUUAGUUCAAUAGUUAUAGAGAGUUUGCCUGACACUAAUAGAUGGCGUCGGAUUAGCUAGUUGGCGAGGUAAAGGCUCACCAAGGCAACGAUACGUAGCUGAUCUGAGAGGAUGAUCGGCCACACUGGAACUGAGACACGGUCCAGACUCCUACGGGAGGCAGCAGUAGGGAAUCUUCCGCAAUGGGCGAAAGCCUGACCGAGCCAUGCCGCGUGAGUGAUGAAGGUCUUCGGAUCGUAAAGCUCUGUUAUUGGGAAAGAACAAAUGUGUAAGAAACCAUGCCCGUUUUGACGGUACCCAAACAGAAAGCCACGGCUAACUUCGUG